rnacentral:rRNA from 1 species
UACCCAGACUCCUACGGGAGGCAGCAGUGGGGAAUAUUGCACAAUGGGGGGAACCCUGAUGCAGCGACGCCGCGUGGGUGAAGGAGUAUUUCGGUAUGUAAAGCCCUAUCAGCAGGGAGGAACAAUGACGGUACCUGACUAAGAAGCACCGGCUAAAUACGUGCCAGCAGCCGCGGUAAUACGUAUGGUGCAAGCGUUAUCCGGAUUUACUGGGUGUAAAGGGAGCGCAGGCGGCGCGUUAAGCCUGGUGUGAAAGCCCGGGGCCCAACCCCGGGACUGCUCUGGAAACUGCGGCGCUGGAGUACGGGAGGGGCAGGCGGAAUUCCUGGUGUAGCGGUGAAAUGCGUAGAUAUCAGGAGGAACACCGGCGGCGAAGGCGGCCUGCUGGACCGUGACUGACGUUGAGGCUCGAGAGCGUGGGGAGCAAACAGGAUUAGAUACCCCGGUA